CGAUCGAAGUUGGAAAAUUGAACAGUGAAGAUUUCGUGACUCGCAUUGUGUGUUAUAUGAGCGUUGAUAUUGCAUCGAAGUCGAACUGUAAAGUUUGGUGGAGCGGUAUCAAGUGAGAAUGCUGGAAUGAGUAACCUCAAGGAGGGUGAGAAUCCCUCCCACCGAAAGAGCAAGGUUUCCUGGGCCAUGAUAAUCAUCCCAGGGUUAGUCGGUCCUAAGCCGAGGCGAAAGUAGCGUAGGCGAUGGACAACGGGUUAAUAUUCCCGUACCGGCGUGUACUUGUUUGUAGAUGCGCGGCAUGAUAACAAAAGCGGAUUCAUGGUUAUAUCCGUCUAACUGGUCUAACGGGCCAGGAAUGAAACGUACCCUUCGGGGCGCGAAUUUUUGUGAAAGUACUGACCAGAAAAGUUUACAAGCUUAUGGUACAAGUUGACCGUACCGCAAACCGACACAGGUGCUUAAGGGCGAGUAGCCCAAGGUGUACGAGUGAUUCUUCGUCAAGGAACUCGGCAAUAUAGCGACCGUAACUUCGGAAUAAGGUCCGCCUGAGCUUCUCACUUUCGUGAGAAGCAUUUGCCAUUUUUCAUUGACUAUUUAGCAUUGAAUUUUCAUUUGCCAUUUUUCAUUGCAGCCGCAAUUGUUAAAUGUUAUCUGUUAAAUCAAUGUGAAAUGUAAAUUGUGAAGUGGUCAAUGCUCGUCGCGUCAGCGAGGAGCUUGGGCCGCAGCUAAAGAACCCAUGCAACUGUUUACCAAAAACACAGGUCUCUGCUAACACGAAAGUGGAUGUAUAGGGGCUGACGCCUGCCCGGUGCUGGAAGGUUAAGGGGAAAGCUUUUACGGCUAGAACUGAAGCCCCAGUGAACGGCGGCGGUAACUAUAACCGUCCUAAGGUAGGAAAGCUGCCUUAGUGAGGUGAAAGACCUCCUUUUGUUUACCUCUGCCAAGAGGUUUUGAAAGAAAAUUCGGCUAUAUG
rnacentral:ncRNA from 1 species